rnacentral:rRNA from 1 species
AGCGGAGGAAAAGAAACUAACAAGGAUUCCCCUAGUAACGGCGAGUGAACCGGGAAAAGCUCAAAUUUGAAAUCUGGCGUCCUCAGGGCGUCCGAGUUGUAAUCUAUAGAGGCGUUUUCCGUGCCGGACCGUGUCCAAGUCCCUUGGAACAGGGUAUCAAAGAGGGUGACAAUCCCGUACUUGACACGACUACCGGUGCUCUGUGAUACGUCUUCUACGAGUCGAGUUGUUUGGGAAUGCAGCUCAAAAUGGGUGGUGAGUUCCAUCUAAAGCUAAAUAUUGGCGAGAGACCGAUAGCGAACAAGUACCGUGAGGGAAAGAUGAAAAGCACUUUGGAAAGAGAGUUAAACAGUACGUGAAAUUGUUGAAAGGGAAACGAUUGAAGUCAGUCGUGACCGAGAGGCUCAGCCGGCUCUGCCGGUGUAUUCCCCUCGGUCGGGUCAACAUCAGUUUUGUCCGGUGGAUAAGGGCGGUAGGAAGGUGGCACCCACGGGUGUGUUAUAGCCUGCCGUCGCAUACACUGGGUGAGACUGAGGAAUGCAGCUCGCCUUUAUGGCCGGGGUUCGCCCACGUCCGAGCUUAGGAUGUUGACAUAAUGGCUUUAAACGACCCGUCUUGAACCAC